AACGAACGCUGGCGGCAUGCCUAACACAUGCAAGUCGAACGAAGGCUUCGGCCUUAGAGGCGCACGGGUGCGUAACGCGUGGGAAUCUGCCCUUUGGUUCGGAAUAACAGCUGGAAACGGCUGCUAAUACCGGAUGAUGACGAAAGUCCAAAGAUUUAUCGCCAGAGGAUGAGCCCGCGUUGGAUUAGGUAGUUGGUGGGGUAAAGGCCUACCAAGCCGACGAUCCAUAGCUGGUCUGAGAGGAUGAUCAGCCACACUGGGACUGAGACACGGCCCAGACUCCUACGGGAGGCAGCAGUGGGGAAUAUUGGACAAUGGGCGCAAGCCUGAUCCAGCAAUGCCGCGUGAGUGAUGAAGGCCCUAGGGUUGUAAAGCUCUUUUACCCGGGAAGAUAAUGACUGUACCGGGAGAAUAAGCCCCGGCUAACUCCGUG
rnacentral:rRNA from 1 species